rnacentral:rRNA from 1 species
GAUGAACGCUGGCGGUAUGCCUAACACAUGCAAGUCGUACGAGAGUUUUUAACUCUAGUGGCGGACGGGUGAGUAACACGUGAGAAUUUGCCUUUAGGAGGGGGACAACAAUUGGAAACGAAUGCUAAUACCCCAUAUGCUUUCGAGUGAAAUGGAUUUUAUCCGCCUAGAGAGAAGCUCGCGGCUGAUUAGCUUGUUGGUAAGGUAAGAGCUUACCAAGGCGACGAUCAGUAUCUGGUUUGAGAGGACGAUCAGACACACUGGAACUGAGACACGGUCCAGACUCCUACGGGAGGCAGCAGUGGGGAAUUUUCCGCAAUGGGCGAAAGCCUGACGGAGCAAUACCGCGUGAGGGAAGAAUGCCUAUGGGUUGUAAACCUCUUUUUUCAGGGAGGAAUAAAAUAGACGUGUACCUGAAGAAUAAGCAUCGGCUAACUCCGUG